CCUACGGGGGACUGCAGUGAGGAAUAUUGGUCAAUGGGCGCUAGCCUGAACCAGCCAAGUAGCGUGAAGGAUGACUGCCCUAUAGGUUGUAAACUUCUUUUAUAUGGGAAUAAAGUGCAGUAUGUAUACUGCUUUGCAUGUACCUUAUGAAUAAGGAUCGGCUAACUCCGUGCCAGCAGCCGCGGUAAUACGGAGGAUCCGAGCGUUAUCCGGAUUUAUGGGGUUUAAGGGGUGCGUAGGCGGGCUUUUACGUCGGCGGUAAAAAUUCGGGGCUAAACCCCGUACGGCCGUUGAAACUGGGGGCCUUGAGUGGGCGAGAGGAAGGCGGAAUGCGGGGUGUAGCGGUGAAAUGCAUAGAUAUCACGCAGAACACCGAUUGCGAAGGCAGCCUACCGGCGCCUAACUGACGCUGAGGCACGAAAGUGCGGGGAUCGAACAGGAUUAGAUACCCGGGUAGUC
rnacentral:rRNA from 1 species